GGCACGGUGGUUUAGUAGUUAAUACGUUUGCCUCGCACCUCCAGGGUUGGGGGUUCGAUUCCCACCUCCGUCC